GCCCAGAUGCAAUUAAUAUGCAAUACAUCAACGACCGUCUAUGUCGUUGAAUAAGUUAAAGUGAGCUAAAAUAGAACAAAACAAUAUAUAGAACAAAACAAGCUUACUUACCUUUUAUAGCUAUUACAUCUACAUUUUGCUGCUUUAAUAUAACAUCGUCGCCUAUUAGAGUAUUACCUCAUAUUGAAUAGAAGAGCAGGAAGCAAACAUUUAUUCAGAACGAGGCAGUGGUUAACUGCUCUUCUUUCAAUUGUACAUCCAAGUAAUUUAAGUGUAAUACAAAAUCGCUCCUGUACUUAUCGUCUUGACUUAACAUGAUAAAAAAAGAUUCCAGUACAAC
rnacentral:lncRNA from 1 species